AGUCGAGCGGCAGCACGGGUACUUGUACCUGGUGGCGAGCGGCGGACGGGUGAGUAAUGCCUAGGAAUCUGCCUGGUAGUGGGGGAUAACGCUCGGAAACGGACGCUAAUACCGCAUACGUCCUACGGGAGAAAGCAGGGGACCUUCGGGCCUUGCGCUAUCAGAUGAGCCUAGGUCGGAUUAGCUAGUUGGUGAGGUAAUGGCUCACCAAGGCGACGAUCCGUAACUGGUCUGAGAGGAUGAUCAGUCACACUGGAACUGAGACACGGUCCAGACUCCUACGGGAGGCAGCAGUGGGGAAUAUUGGACAAUGGGCGAAAGCCUGAUCCAGCCAUGCCGCGUGUGUGAAGAAGGUCUUCGGAUUGUAAAGCACUUUAAGUUGGGAGGAAGGGCAUUUACCUAAUACGUAAGUGUUUUGACGUUACCGACAGAAUAAGCACCGGCUAACUCUGUGCCAGCAGCCGCGGUAAUACAGAGGGUGCAAGCGUUAAUCGGAAUUACUGGGCGUAAAGCGCGCGUAGGUGGUUUGUUAAGUUGGAUGUGAAAUCCCCGGGCUCAACCUGGGAACUGCAUUCAAAACUGACAAGCUAGAGUAUGGUAGAGGGUGGUGGAAUUUCCUGUGUAGCGGUGAAAUGCGUAGAUAUAGGAAGGAACNNNNGUGGCGAAGGCGNNNNNCUGGACUGAUACUGACACUGAGGUGCGAAAGCGUGGGGAGCAAACAGGAUUAGAUACCNCUGGUAGUCCACGCCGUAAACGAUGUCAACUAGCCGUUGGGAGCCUUGAGCUCUUAGUGGCGCAGCUAACGCAUUAAGUUGAUCNGNCUGGGGAGU
rnacentral:rRNA from 1 species